UCAUCUUUCAGAAUCAGGACCUUAGGGG
rnacentral:piRNA from 1 species